CGGGCCGCGCGGCAGGUACGCGGCGGGGCCGCCCCGGGUCGGGCCGGGCCGGGCCGGGCAGCGCCCGCCCGCUGACAUGGCCGCGGGGCCGUGCCCGCUGCACGCACCUGCACGGACGGCCCCGUGAGGAGAGCAAGCCUCGCUCCUCGCGCAUUACAAAAGGAGGUCCCUCACCGCAGCGCUCGGCUCCGUCUCGUACAGCACGGGGGGCCGGGGAGCACCCGCAGGUAGGUCUGUCUGCUCUCCUCUCCUCUGCCCAUCUCCAUCUUAUCACCGCCGUGCUCAGCGCCUGCACCCCUGUGCUGACGUCUGGGUGCUUAGGCAUAAAUACUGAGAUGUGCUGAAUAGAGAGAAAAGCUCCAGAACCGAUCAAUUCCUUCCGCAGCUCGGGAGGGGAGCGUAGGGGACUAAGUCAGCCUGCUUCAUUUUAAUAGAGAUAAGGCUGCACCCGAGCGGUUCUGCAUUGGUAAGGUGUGCACAGACCGCUACAGUGUUUGGGGGGCUUGCUUCUUGAAGUAAAUGCUACUGAGCUGAAAGGGCAACAAGCGGGUACCCUGCACGUAUGCCUACAGAAGCAUCCCCGAGCCCAGCUCCAGCACCCACUGCUCGGAGCCAGCUCAGAGUUGCGUGGCUCUGUCGUAAGGAAAGCUCCCUCGUUAAACUGAUUUCAAGGAAACAGCCGUACCCAAAUUUAGAAACGCUGAUUACGCUACGCUGAACCCUCUCCCCCAUUUUGGAAAGGAUCAGUAAUGAAUUGGGGGUGCAGUGCUUUUUUUUCUCUCAAAAGCUAUUAUUUUUAUUUAGUAUUACAACUAAAACAUUGUACUUAUUUUCUAGUUCCAAAGUGUUUCUACUCCCUCCCCUAUCCCCCUCCACAGUGAAAAGAGAUGCAGGCUAUUUCUAGCAAGAAAAGAAACACAGUAGAAUGAUACAUAUUUUAAAAAAUUAACUGCUUACAAAAAUCUUUUAUGACUGGAGCUCUACACAAUGCAAAUUGCAAUCUUUUAGAUCAAAACAAACCAGUGUGCACCCUCAGAAUGCAUGAAUACCACUCACAAACAAGAUCGGAAAUGCCCUCUCUCAGCAUUUCACCAAAUACUGCAACAGAACCAAGUCCAAAAUACGUUAAUUUCAACAGACGUGUUUGUGGAGGUUCACAGCAGACAGAUUACAGCAUUCUGUGCUUAACGUUAAGGAAAGGCUGGGCCUGCUUCACACAAAUGUGGUAUAAAUACAUGCAAGUUUAGGAACCAGAACUCACACAGCAAAACUCCAGCUCUGACUACUGUAAAAAAAGCAGGUAGUAAAAGCUUAAUUACCAGUAGCAUUAUGCUGUCUAUAUUGUUAAAUGUGAACUCUAUAAUUAAGAUGUAAAUUCGCUUGUGAGCAGUGAAUUAAAGAGCUCUGAAAUGUAGAGUAAAAUCCAAGUCCUCUGUAGAAACAUCAGAGACCAAAAAAAAUUAGUUUUUAUCAAAUUUUAAAAUGAGGUAUUUAAUCAUGUUAUAGUAUUAGAACACCCUCUAAGUAACAAUUUGAUAAAUGUGGAUUUUUAAUCAAAUCGGAACUUAAAUAAGCUGUGUUUAUUCUAUGUAUUUAUUAGUAUAUAAACUCAAAAUGCAGUUCCUAUAAAUUGAUUGCCAUAUGCACAUUAGCAAACUGUGAAAAUACAAAUGUGUUGUUUGUAGUGAGUCUGAGAGUCCAUUUAUAAUAUAUAUAUAAAAUUGCUAUUUCUCAAUAUUUUAUACUAAAAUGCCUUCAAAUCAUUUCAUGUGUAUGUUUUCUUAUUUUCAAGUGACCUAUAACCGAUCCCUUAUACAUGAGUCAUUUGCUAAAGUCACUUCUGCAUAUUAAGUGCCCUGAAAUACACCCUCCUUAAUAUAUGACAGCUGAUCCAUUUUGAAAUUUACCAAAGCACAGGCCAGCUUAAUUUCUACUUUUGUGCAUUAUUUCCUGAGCUGAUAUAUUUAUAUGCAGGAGCUGGAACACGAUGGUCUCUUUCCUUCUGUCGUGGAAGCCCUGCUUUCCGCUUUCCCAUAAGUUGUGCUACCUUAUUGGCUUGUUCCCCCCAGCGCCCUACACCACCCAAAUACAUUUUAUCUCUCACCAUCACUACUUUUCCAUCUCCUAUCUCUCAUGCAAGCAAACAGUUCUCUUCCCUGCCAGUGAUGCUGCUUGGCUAACCAGAAACCCAGUGCUGUACUUUGCAUGUUGAUAAACAAAGCAGUUGGCUUCUUCCCCUGGGACUGAAAGUGCCACCUCCACCAGAGCAGGGCCUGGAAUUCCAACCACAUUCUUGAACUUGUGUUUCACAGUUACCCAUCAGUUUGGAGGGGGAGAAAAGAAAGAAAAAGAUUACUGCAGCAAAUAAAGUGGGGCUAAAUGUAGCUUCAUUUCCUCGAGCUUUUUAGUAGAAAUUAAUAAAAAUAGAUCUAGGGGAAAAAAGAUAAAAUUUAAGUGAAUCUUACCAGGCAAAUAAGAACAUGCAUGCAACUGCCCAUGUGCACCAACUUACCAAAACGGACAGUGCAAAAUCUUACCACAAGGAGUCUAUACAAAGCAGUAGUAACACAGAAGGGAAGGAAAAAAAUGACCCGAGCGUCUGUACCAAUCAAGGGUCAUUUCUGAGCAGCAUCUACAUUUCCAUCUCUCUGUUCAUAUAAUUUGUCCUGUGUACAGUCAGUCCAUCUUUAAGCAUCUUCACAUUUGACUACGAUAGACAUUUCAAAGCAUCCAAACAGCCAGAUUCCUACAACACAACUACAUUAAGGCAACUGAAGAAGUAAGAUUCAGUGGCACUUCACAGCAGCUGCGCAGUGCAUUGUGUCAAGUUCGUCUUUACCAAAAGGAGCAACAAGUUAGAGUCACCUGGGAAGGAGCAAAAAUUUGGAAAAAAAAUUCUACUAGCUGCUGAGAAUUUAUUUGAAAACAAGCAUACCGUUACCUAAGAUGGAAGUUUGCUGUAUAAUACGGUACCUUAUUCAAGGUAUAGCUGGAGAAUUAAAUUGUUAAGUUUGAAAUAAACAUUGAAUUAUCAUCAAA